ensembl:lncRNA
UUUUUUUUUUUUUUUUUGCUUUUUAGGGCCUCACCCCCAGCCUAUAGAUGUUCCUAGGCUAGGGUCAAAUUGGAGCUGCAGCUGCUGGCCACAGCCACAGUCACAGCAAUAAGGGAUCCAAGCUGUGUCUGUGACCUACACAACAGCUCAUGGCAAUGCCAGCUCCUUAACCCACUGAGGGAGGCCAAAGAUCGAACACACAUCCUCAUAGAUACUAGUUGGACUGGUGUCUGCUGUGCCGCAACAGGAACUCCAGAACUUCAAGUAUUUUUAAGUGUAAAACAAACAAACAAACAACAACCACCAAAACCAGCCAACCAAUGCUAGGAAGGUUAACUCAUUAAACUGCUGUCACAGCCCCCUGUGAAUGACAGAUCAGAGGCAGGUUUGAUACUUUCUCCCAACUAUUUGGGGUCAACCUGCUGCUUCCCCAUCACUUCCACAGUGUUCUCAGAGCUGUCAUAAAGUGACAGUCACAUUUAUCAUCUCCGUGGGGGAGGAGGAGAGAAGAGAGUUAAAGGGCUUCCAUAUCCUAGGCCCUGUUUGUAGAGCCCACCACCGCCUCCUUUGUGGCAUGUCUUUGGCAUCUUAUAGAUUAUAACAGGGUUACAACAGAUGCUGUAAUUGGAUAUCUGUAUCUUUGCUGCUAUCCUAAUUUAGAAGCUAUAUACAUUCUUUUAGACAGCAGCCUUAUUGAGUUAUAAUUUACCAUCACAAACUCCACCUAUUUAAAGAGCACAAUUCAGUGGUUUUUAGUAUAUUUAAUGGAGUUGUCCAGUGAUCAGCACUAUCUCAUUCCAGGCCAUUUUCAUCCCUGCAAAAAGCAAUCCCAUACCCAUUAUCAUUCACUCCCCAACCCCCUCCCAGCAGCCUUUGGUAACCACUUCUGUUUCUAUUUGCCUGUUCUGAACUUUUCAUCUAAGCGGAAUCAUACCAUAUGUGACCUUUUUGUGAAGGCCUUCCUACACUUAGCAUAAUGUUUUCAAGGGUCACCUGCAUUGUAGCAUGCAUCAAUACUCCGUUCCUUUUUCACAGUUAAAUAGUAUUCCAUUCUAUAAUAGACCACAUUUUAUCCCAUUUAUCAGCUCUUGGACACUCGGGUGAUUCUCAUUUUGCCUACAAUGCCUAAGGCUGUUAUGGACAUUUGUGUACCGUUUUUUGGAUGGGCACACGUCUUCAUUUCUCUUAAGGAUCCAUCUAGGAAUGAAACAGCUGGGUCAUAUGGUAACUUUGUUUUGAGGAACUGACACAUUUUUCUCCGCAGGAGCUAAACCAUUUUACAUUUUUGCAAUGUUUAAGACUGCCAGUCUCUCCAUAUUCCUGGUCUGGGCUCUUUCCUACCCCAUCCCCACACACACCUCCCAGCAUUAUCACCAUCAUUAGAGAACAUAUGAGAAAUACGAACUCUCAGGCCCUACCCAAGGUCACCUGCAUGAGAAAUUUUAAAAGCAGCAAUCUAUGUUUUAACAAACUCUCCAAAUGUCUCCAAGCUCUCGUCCGUGUAGGCUUAAGUCUGAGAAUCAAUACUAUAGAAUAAUGUUUCUUCCAGGAUGUUUCAUAGCAAUUUACCAAGUAAUAUCCAAUAAUGAAAUGUCUUGGUCGUAUACGUUUGAAAAAUAUUGGGCUAAACAAAAAAGCCUUUACUCAGAACCUCUUAGAUUCUCAAAUAUGUGUGUGAGAACUAUGAUCCAGUAUAGCAUUUCCCGAACUUAUACAAGCAUCAAACCCCUUUUAUAUGGAGCAUCUUGCAGGACUAGUGUUACUGUGGGAAACACUACUAUUUAAGUGUUCUGGAAAAGAAAUUAAAGGAACAUGCCACUAUUUACUUUAAUCUGUUGUUAACGAUAUCCUUGCAACUAGGUCUUUACAAAAAGUCUCUUGAUUCGGUUGUCUCCGGCUACAGAGCAAACCUGAGUGGUUUAGAGCAACCAAGAGCAUGUGUCAUUUCACACAGUGGGGCAGGAUUCUGAAUGUGACAGAGCUGCCUGGUUCUCGCUCAGGAUGACUCAAGGUCAUGCAGUCAGGAUGUCAGCAAGGGCUGCACCUGUCUGAAGGCUUACCUAUUCUAGGUUUCCAAGAUGGCUCACUCACCUGGCAUUGGCAGGAGUUCCUCACCACAUGAGCUUCCACAGGGCUCACUGAAUGUCCUUUAAUGCGGCAGCUGGCUUUCCCCAGAGCAAGUAAUCCAAGAAGCAAGGCAGAUGUGGCAAUGUCUUUUAUGACUGAGCCUCAAAGGUUACACUCUCACUUCUGCCAUGUUCUCUUGGUCACAAAGACAGACCCUGACACAGUGUAGGAGCCGGGACUAGGCCAGGACCUGAGGACCAGAAGGUAAGGAUCCCUUUGCUAGUAAGUGUCUGGGCUGUGACUGACCCCAGGCGGUCUGGCUCCAGAGUCUGGACCACUGUGUCCUGGUGCCUCUCUGUUCAUCUUACUAAACAUGAUCUCUGAUAUUCCUUUAAGACUGGGU